rnacentral:rRNA from 1 species
UACGUAGGGGGCAAGCGUUGUCCGGAAUCAUUGGGCGUAAAGCGCGUGUAGGCGGUUCGGUAAGUCGGCUGUGAAAGUCCAGGGCUCAACCCUGGGAUGCCGGUCAAUACUGCCGGACUAGAGUUCGGAAGAGGCGAGUGGAAUUCCUGGUGUAGCGGUGAAAUGCGCAGAUAUCAGGAGGAACACCAAUGGCGAAGGCAGCUCGCUGGGACGGUACUGACGCUGAGACGCGAAAGCGUGGGGAGCAAACAGG